GCAUUCCUCCAUGCACAGCUCAUCCCACACAGCUCCUCCCUGCUCCAUCCAUUGGGAUGGGAAAUAACAUCCCACGUGGGAGGGAAGCUGUUCCCACCAGGAACACCUCAGCUGGCGUUUUCCUCCUCCUGCCCCAGCUAUUUAUUCCUGAUUCCUUCACCAGCCUCAUAACCUUCCUUAUAUGGUUCUUUCCUGGAAUUUUCUGUGCUCAGCAUUCUGAGGGAAGUCGUGGUGUUGGGCAGGUGGUUUGUCAAAAUGCAACGUGCCACAGCCUGAGAUGCUCAUCCUCAACUUUUCCUUCUCAAAUGCCUGACCCUCUGUGCUGGGCCACAUCCCAGGAUGCUGCUCCCACGUCCCAGAGCCAGCAGCUCCCCAUGGCAGCCCAGGGAUGUGGGAUAUCCUCUACUCACAGGCAACCCAGGGACUCCAGCCAGCCCACGCUGCCCCACACGGCCCUGGAAAACAGCAGGAAUCACAAAACAGCAGCAAAGCUGCAGAUCUGGAGGAAAAUCUUGUGCCUGAAGGAUGUGCUCUGCCCCAGCACAUCCCAAGCCAAGCAAGGCAUGUUUCAAUCCAGGGCUGUUUCAAUCCCCACAGCCAAAGAUGCGCCAAGAUCCAGCCCCAAAUUCCAGCACCCCGUUAGUUACCCGGGCUCCCCGCGGUCCUGGGGUUCCCUUGGGGCCAUCAGGUCCUUGGCAUCCCUAAAAUCCACAGAAAGGGAAACACAGAAAUUGCAAAUCUACAGGGGCAGGUCAAGGGGAAGCCAUGCACGGGGAGGGGGACAAGAAACCCCCCCAGGAUGGUGCCCCUGGGUGCUGGGACCCUGGCAGGGUGGGCACAUCCCUGGAAUUGGGCAGCCCAUGGGAAAGCAGCAAAUUCUGGCACUGACCUUGGGUCCCUCGCUGCUGUUUAGCCCUGCAGGGCCAAUCUGACCUUCUUCCCCCUGCCAGGAGAGAGGGGAGGACUGAUCCAGGGAAAACACAGCCCCUGAUCCCGGGGGAGUCACCAGCUGGCUGCUGGUGUAGGGAAAAACACUGCGAGUGUGACCAGAGGUGACAUUCAUAAAUG
rnacentral:lncRNA from 1 species